CUGGAAAGCAAGUGUUUCUUCACCAGCUAUUCUCAGAUGCCACAGCUUUAAACAAUGGAACACACCAAUCUCACUCGCCACUUCGUGGCAUGGCAAGAGUGUACCCUGAAGAUCUGGACUCUAAUGGGCUGGCUCCAGCCUCUGAACCUACCUGACCAGAGAAGAUAUCAGUUCCUAAACCGAAGGACGACCGAUAACGCCACUGCUUCAUUGCUGUGUUUGUAUGCACUGAAGUGGCAGCUCAUAUUUGAAUAAAUGCUGAGA